rnacentral:rRNA from 1 species
AGGUACCGUCAAGGCGCAACCAUUUCCUGAUGCGCUGUUUCGUCUCUCCCCACAGUGCUUUACGACCCGAAGGCCUUCAUCACACACGCGGCGUGGCUGGGUCAGGCUUUCGCCCAUUGCCCAAUAUUCCUCA